rnacentral:rRNA from 1 species
UGCCAGCCGCCUCGGUAAUACUGAGUGUGCAAUCGUUAAUCGGAAUUACUGGGCGCAAAGCGUGCGUAGGCGGAUCGACAAGUUGGGGGUGAAAUCCCGGGGCUUAACCCCGGAACUGCCCUCAAAACUGUCGAUCUAGAGACCGGGAGAGGUAAGCGGAAUUCCUAGUGUAGAGGUGAAAUUCGUAGAUAUUAGGAAGAACACCAGUGGCGAAGGCGGCUUACUGGACCGGUACUGACGCUGAGGUACGAAAGCGUGGGGAGCGAACAGGAUUAGAUA